GUGUCAGCCGCCGCGGUAAUACGUAGGGGGCGAGCGUUGUCCGAAUUCACUGGGCGUAAAGCGCGCGUAGGCGGGUUUUUAAGUUGUGGGUGAAAUUCCGAGGCUCAACCUCGGAACUGCCUGCAAAACUGGGAGCCUUGAGGUAUGGAGAGGGAAGUGGAAUUCCUGGUGUAGCGGUGAAAUGCGUAGAUAUCAGGAGGAACACCCGUGGCGAAGGCGGCUUCCUGGCCAUAUCCUGACGCUGAGGUGCGAAAGCCAGGGUAGCGAACGGGAUUAGAUACCCCGGUAGUCCUGGCCAUAAACGAUGGAUACUAGGUGUUAGAGGUAUCGACCCCUCUAGUGCCGCAGCUAACGCAUUAAGUAUCCCGCCUGGGGAGUACGACCGCAAGGUUGAAACUCAAAUAAAUUGACGG
rnacentral:rRNA from 1 species